AUACAUUUUUUUUAUUUCCAAUAGAGUUUGAUGGGUUGUCAAGUGGAAUUGUGGCAGUGGCAGGUUUGAGUUCCAGGCACUACAGAUGUGAUCUGAAGUCGGUCAUAUGCAAAGUGGCAGUUUCCUGAAACGGAUAUGGCUUUUUGAAAAUUCCAUCAUUCUGGCCGCACCACAUGACAGCAUUUACACCACCACCAGCAACAACGAAGUCUUUGAUAAAUUCAUAUUUCAAGUACUCUGAUCACUCAAUCAAAAGAAGGAAGUUUUCUGAUUACAUUCUUUGUGAACUGUGCUUAGGAAUCCAAUACCAAUAAAAUUCCAGGUUCUGAGAUUACAGGAACUGCUUUCAUGCCAUACAAUGGUAAUCGGGAUGUGCAUGACCCAUUUGUUUAUUUCGGACAAAAAUGACGAGGAACACUUUCAGCAACUCUAAAGGUGAAGAGUGUUCAGCUACAUGAACACAAGUAAGCUUGGAGACGAUCUUUGUUUAUGAUAAUUGGAAAAGAAUCUUUGGGUCAGCAAUGUUUAGCAGGGUAGCUAGCUACCUUUAGUCAUGGUUUCUUUUUAUAAGAAGUUUUUAAACCAGUGCUGACGAUCUUACCAGUUAACUUAAUUCUAUGCUUAUACACCAAAAAUUAAGGAAAUCGAAUGA